AAAAUAAAUAGUUUUUUAAUUGAAAACUUGAAUGAAAGAGUUAAUAAAAUAUAAAUUGUCUCAAAUUAAUAAAAAUAAUUUAAAUUAAAAGUAAAAAUACUUUUAUAUUUUUAUUAGACGAUAAGACCCUAAGAAUUUGAUUAUUUGUAUUUUUAUUUAAUUUUUAUAAUAAAUAUAUAAAAAUAUAAAUUAUUUUAUUGGGAGGGUAAAUAAAUUUUUAAACUUUAGUUUUAAUAAAAUAUUUUUAGAUAAAUUUUUAAUGAUUAUUAUUAAGAUUAUAAGAAUAAAUUACCUUAGGGAUAACAGCGUGAUAAUUUUGGAGAGUUCAUAUUGAUAAAAUUGUUUAC
rnacentral:rRNA from 1 species